CUUCUGCUGUUGUUUUUUCUAUGAUCGGGUUGUUGUCUCUUUGAAUAAAGGCAACAGUAGUAUACCGCUGUUCAAAACUCAUAAAUCCAUGGACAAAAAACAAAAUCGGGGCAACAAACCAAAACCGCGGGAAACGCAUCAAACACCAGAGGAGAACAACGGCACAACACCAAAAUGCAACACACACAGCAACGGACCAAGCACCAGACAACAUCCGACGAGAACAACCAACACAACAUCAAAACCAAACACACGAACCCGGGACAGAAAAGCACCGCGACACGUCCUAUAGCAACGCGAACCCACACUCAAAAAUAGGAGAAAACAAACGACACAACGGAAACACAUCGCGAAAAUGUCACACACACAGAAACGAACCACGAUACAACAAUGGCCAUUUUCCUGACUUGGCACAGGACAUUUCUAAAGAAAAAAAUGGUGGGCCGAACCCGGCCUUGUGGCAUGCCAAACCUCGCACCUUGAUGGCACCGCCAAACACAACAUCAAAAUGACAACACAACAAUACAGGACUACAAUACAAAUAAACAGCAGAACGCAUCAUGCAUAGAAACACAUGGACAAUAGACGCAUCAGGUUUAAAAUUCACCACGUCAAAACCGCACCUAACAAGACCCACCAGUGACGCCCAGAUACAAAAGUUCGAAAGUCAAAAAAAGGGGG
rnacentral:lncRNA from 1 species